rnacentral:tRNA from 1 species
UCCCUGGUGGCUCAGACAGUAAAGCAUCUGCCUGCAAUACAGGAGACCCAGGUUCAAUCCCUGGAUUGGGAA